GCCCGGGUGGCGGAAUCGGUAGACGCAACGGACUUAAAAUCCGUUUUCCGUAUGGAAGUGCGGGUUCGAAUCCCGCCCCGGGCA
rnacentral:tRNA from 1 species